GACGAACGCUGGCGGCGUGCUUAACACAUGCAAGUCGAACGAAGUGGCGAACGGGUGAGUAACGCGUAAUCAACCUGCCCUUCAGGGGGGGAUAACAGUUGGCAACGACUGCUAAUACCGCAUACUGAAGGAGGGGAUUGCGACUGAUUCGCUAGUUGGGGGGGUAACGGCCCACCAAGGCGAAGAUCAGUAGCCGGUCCUAGAGGGUGAACGGGCACAUUGGGACUGAGACACGGCCCAGAAUUCUACGGGAGGCAGCAGGGGGGAAUUUUCCGAAAUGGAGGAAAGGCUGAAGGAGCAACGCCGCGUGAGUGAUGACGGCCUUCGGGGUGGAAAGCUCUGUUAAUCGGGACGCGGUACCGGAAUAGAAAGCCACGGCUAACUACGUGCCAGCCGCCGCGGUAAUAC
rnacentral:rRNA from 1 species